GGAUGUGAGGGUGAUCUGGCUGUGACAUCUGUCACCCCAUUUAUCGCCAGGGUUGAUUCGGCUGAUCUGGCUGGCUAGGAGGGUGUCCCUUCCUCCCUCACUGCUCCAUGUGCGUCCCUCCCGAAGCUGUGCUCUCGGUCGCAGAGGACGAACUUCCCCGAAUAGAGACAGACUUGUCUUCGGUCGAGGGUAUAUGAGUAGCUGCACUCCCCUGCUAGAACCUCCAAACAAGCUCUCUAUUUACUCAUUUGAAACCUUAAGUGUUUAGGUUGAAGGAAUAUAUACUCAGAACUGAAGUCUAUCUAUUGAAACACUCUAGACAUUCAAUCUAU
rnacentral:snRNA from 1 species